rnacentral:rRNA from 1 species
GACGGAGGGUGCAAGCGUUGUUCGGAAUUACUGGGCGUAAAGGGCGUGUAGGCUGCUGUGUCAGUCAGGCGUGAAAGCCCCGGGCUUAACCUGGGAACCGCGUUUGAUACUGCACAGCUAGAGGACUGGAGAGGAAAGUGGAAUUCCUAGUGUAGAGGUGAAAUUCGUAGAUAUUAGGAGGAACACCAGUGGCGAAAGCGGCUUUCUGGACAGUUACUGACGCUGAGGCGCGAAAGCGUGGGGAGCAAACAGG